rnacentral:lncRNA from 1 species
GGAAAACAAGAUCCUGGCGGUUACAUCACAGCUCCAGGACAUCUCAGGAGCAGGCAUCAGUCAGGCAGGAGUAAUGAAAAGAGAACAACAUGGAUUUCAUCAAUGCUGCUCAGCUGUCAGUGUGCCAGGUUGCCGCU